rnacentral:lncRNA from 1 species
GGACCAACGAAAUAAUUCCGGUUCCCACUUUGACUCUUUGUCCCAGCCCACCCAUGACUGUAUGACAGUGCAUAUUAUUCCAGUUUAGCUGGCUAGGAAACUGAGAAAGAAAGAAGGCAGGAGUCCACUCAGGGCACAGGCGGUGGGGACCACACGAUUCCAAGAGGCACUGACGCCUUCAUGAAGGGCUUCCGUAAAAAGUGGGAAGUACUCCGAUUGCUGGGAGCGUGUUCUAAGUCAGAAUGUUCCUGGUGGUUCAGGGCAGCUCAGAGGAUGCCUCCUCAGAGGGCUUCCCCCACCAUGUCCAGAGUAUCCCCUUUGCUCAUGGCUCCAUGCCUGCCUCACCGUUCUCAGCACUGAUCACUCCCUGUCAUCUACUACCUGCGUGUUUAUCCAUUUGGUCCUCAUCUGACCCCACUGGGGAGUGCUGAGUGCUUGGUGCUCGGUCUAUCCUCACUUCCCUCUGAAUGCUGAGGGCUUGGUGCUUGGUCCAUCCUCACUGCCCUCUGAGUGCUCAGUACUUGGUACUCAGUCUUUUCUCACUGCCCUCUGAGUGCUUGGUGCUCCAUCUGUUCUCACUGCCCUCUGAGUGCAUGGUACUUGGUCCAUCCUCACUGCUGAGUGCUGGGUGCUCGGUCUAUCCUCACUGCCCUCUAAGUGGUCAGUACUUGGUGCUUGGUCCAUCCUUACUGCCCUAUGAGUGCUCAGUGCUCAGUCUGUCCUCACUGUCCUCUGCGUGAUUGGUGCUCAGUCCAUCCUCACUGCCCUAUGAGUGUUCACUACUCAGUGUUCCAUCUGUCCUCACUGCCCUCUGAGUGCUCAGUACUGAGUGCUCCAUCUGUUCUCACUGCCCUCUGAGUGCUCGGUACUUGGUCCAUCUCACUGCCCUCUGAGUGCUCGGUACUUGGUCCAUCUCACUGCCCUCUGAGUGCUCGGUACUUGGUCCAUCCUCACUACCCUCUGAGUGCUUGGUGUUUGGUCCAUCCUCACCACCCUCUGAGUGCUCAGUACUCUGUGUUCCAUCUGUCCUCAGUGCCUUUUGAGUGCUCGUACUUGGUCUGUCCUCACUGCCCUCUGAGUGCUUGGUGCUUGGUCCACCAUCACUGCCCUCUGAGUGCUCAGUACUCGGUGCUUGGUCUGUCCUCACUGCCCUGUAAGUGCUUGGUGCUUGGUUUGUCCUCACUGCCCGGAGCAGUGCAUGGCAUAAGCUCAGUGGGUACAUGCUAACUGAGUGAGUGACUGACAGAGCCUCCCCCUCCCACCCCACUGUCUUUCAGAGACCUUGGGCAACAUUACCAAAUCCUUCAGGCCUCAGCUGUGAAAUGGGUGUGACUGAAACCUCUUUCCAGGCUGUGGUUGAGACUAACUGCGUUAUCACACACAGCACGCUUGGAACAGCACGCAAUGGAUACUAACUAUUAAAAUUGUGCUUAAACCUGGUGUCGUGGACUACCCUGCUAUGUGUAAUCUUAAUGCAAGAGUACGCAGACUGAGAGCGCCACUUGAGACAAGGUCCCCCAAACGCCUGACCGAGUUGGAGAUCAGUGGUGGAAAUUUCAAAGGUAGAGGACACAGCUGCCGUCUUGGGAGUGGUGGACUCCUCCCAGAAGACAAUCAUUUAACCGGAGAAAAUGGUUUUAAACAUCAUUUAAAGUCUCUGAAAUUAUCCUAAGGGCAUACGCAGAAUGAAAAACUAUUUAUUCAGGAAAAUCCAGUAAAUCUUAGUAACAACAGUGAGAGUCUGUGGCAUUUCAGCCUCAGCCCUCCCUCCAAGCCCAUCGAGAAAAUGGAAGCUCUGCUCUCUACAGAUGUGGAAAAGAAAAUGGGGGCCCUACUCCCCCAGUGCCCAGUCUGGGGCUCUGGCCACCUGUGUUGCCCACCUCCCAGCCCCGUGUUAAAAUGUUGAAAGCCAAAUAAAGAGAAAGCCUUGAGAACAGAAAGGGCACGUGACCCAUCGCGCACAAGGAGGCCCCGGUGAGACCCACCGCGCACGAGGGGGGCCCGGUGAGACCUAUCUCACACAAGGGGAUUCUGUAGAUAAUUGUAAAAGACAGUAUAACAUAUUUCUUCUUUCUUCUCAACUUAUUUUUAAAAUGCUUACAUAAAAGAAUAUGUAUAUAAUUACAUUAUUUGUAUUAUAACAUAUAGAAACGUAAUACAUUUGAAAAUAGCAGCACAAAGAAGCCAGGUGGAACAAAGCUGUACUGGAGAGAAAGCAAUGACAUCAGAUAGUAACCAGUAUCCACCGGGGGAAGAAAAGAGAAUCAGAAAUGGUAAAUAAGGAGAUUAAUAUAACAAACUUUAUAAACAUAUACUUGCUCUCCUUUCUUCUCUCAACUUCCUUAAAAGACUUAAGAUUAUAUACAGUAGUAAUUAUAACAAUAUAUUGUUGGGUUUGUAACAUAUACAGGGACAAUAUAUUAAACAACAGCACAAAAAAGAAGUCUAUGGAAUGAAACUAUGUUGUAUGAAGUCUAUGGAAUUGAACUCAUUCCACAGGAGUAUGUUUCUGUAUUUCACUGGUAUUAGGCUAGUAUAAAUCUAAAAUAAAAUUUGAUGUUAAGAUGUACAUUGUAAG